rnacentral:rRNA from 1 species
GUGGGGAAUAUUGGACAAUGGGGGAAACCCUGAUCCAGCGACGCCGCGUGAGUGAAGAAGUAUUUCGGUAUGUAAAGCUCUAUCAGCAGGGAAGAAAAUGACGGUACCUGACUAAGAAGCCCCGGCUAACUACGUGCCAGCAGCCGCGGUAAUACGUAGGGGGCAAGCGUUAUCCGGAUUUACUGGGUGUAAAGGGAGCUUAGACGGCACUGCAAGUCUGGAGUGAAAGCCCGGGGCUCAACCCCGGGACUGCUUUGGAAACUGUGGUGCUGGAGUGCAGGAGAGGUAAGUGGAAUUCCUAGUGUAGCGGUGAAAUGCGUAGAUAUUAGGAGGAACACCAGUGGCGAAGGCGGCUUACUGGACUGUAACUGACGUUGAGGCUCGAAAGCGUGGGGAGCAAACAGGAUUAGAAACCCCGUAGUCC